UACGUAGGGUGCAAGCGUUGUCCGGAAUUAUUGGGCGUAAAGAGCUCGUAGGCGGUCUGUCGCGUCGGCUGUGAAAACUCGGGGUUCAACCCCGAGCCUGCAGUCGAUACGGGCAGACUAGAGUGCUGUAGGGGAGACUGGAAUUCCUGGUGUAGCGGUGAAAUGCGCAGAUAUCAGGAGGAACACCGGUGGCGAAGGCGGGUCUCUGGGCAGUAACUGACGCUGAGGGGCGAAAGUGUGGGGAGCGAACAGG
rnacentral:rRNA from 1 species